AAGGCUAGGUGGGCCUGGCGACGGUUGUCCAGGUUCAAGUGCGUAGGCUGAGUGUUUAGGUAAAUCCGGACACUCUUAAGGCUGAGACACGACGUCGAGCUACUACGGUAGUGAAGUCAUUGAUGCCAUGCUUCCAGGAAAAGCCUCUAAGCUUCAGAUUGUAAGGAAUCGUACCCCAAACCGACACAGGUGGUCGGGUAGAGAAUACCAAGGCGCUUGAGAGAACUCGGGUGAAGGAACUAGGCAAAAUGGUACCGUAACUUCGGGAGAAGGUACGCUCUUGAUGGUGAAGUCCCUUGCGGAUGGAGCUGACGAGAGUCGCAGAUACCAGGUGGCUGCAACUGUUUAUUAAAAACACAGCACUGUGCAAAAUCGUAAGAUGACGUAUACGGUGUGACGCCUGCCCGGUGCCGGAAGGUUAAUUGAUGGGGUUAGCGUAAGCGAAGCUCUUGAUCGAAGCCCCGGUAAACGGCGGCCGUAACUAUAACGGUCCUAAGGUAGCGAAAUUCCUUGUCGGGUAAGUUCCGACCUGCACGAAUGGCGUAAUGAUGGCCACGCUGUCUCCACCCGAGACUCAGUGAAAUUGAAAUCGCUGUGAAGAUGCAGUGUACCCGCGGCUAGACGGAAAGACCCCGUGAACCUUUACUACAGCUUGGCACUGAACAUUGAACCUACAUGUGUAGGAUAGGUGGGAGGCUUUGAAGACGUGACGCCAGUUGCGUUGGAGCCGUCCUUGAAAUACCACCCUUGUAUGUUUGAUGUUCUAACGUUGGCCCCUAAUCGGGGUUGCGGACAGUGCCUGGUGGGUAGUUUGACUGGGGCGGUCUCCUCCCAAAGAGUAACGGAGGAGCACGAAGGUGGGCUAAUCACGGUUGGACAUCGUGAGGUUAGUGCAAUGGCAUAAGCCCGCUUAACUGCGAGAAUGACGGUUCGAGCAGGUGCGAAAGCAGGUCAUAGUGAUCCGGUGGUUCUGAAUGGAAGGGCCAUCGCUCAACGGAUAAAAGGUACUCCGGGGAUAACAGGCUGAUACCGCCCAAGAGUUCAUAUCGACGGCGGUGUUUGGCACCUCGAUGUCGGCUCAUCACAUCCUGGGGCUGAAGUCGGUCCCAAGGGUAUGGCUGUUCGCCAUUUAAAGUGGUACGCGAGCUGGGUUUAGAACGUCGUGAGACAGUUCGGUCCCUAUCUGCCGUGGGCGUUGGAAGAUUGAAGGGGGCUGCUCCUAGUACGAGAGGACCGGAGUGGACGAACCUCUGGUGUUCGGGUUGUGUCGCCAGACGCAUUGCCCGGUAGCUAAGUUCGGAAUCGAUAACCGCUGAAAGCAUCUAAGCGGGAAGCGAGCCCUGAGAUGAGUCUU
rnacentral:rRNA from 1 species